AUGCCUUAGUGGGGACAUUGUCUAAGCAAUUCUUUAAAUCUUUCCUAAGCAUCAAAUAAAGAGUCAUCAUCUCCUUGCCUAAAUAAGGUAAUCUCAUUUCUCAUCUU